UUAAAAGUUUGGUCCUGGCUUCGAUGUCAACUGUAAUUAAUAUUAUACAUGCAAGUCUCCGCCCACCAGUGAUAACACCCUUAUAAUCUAUAGGAGCUGAUAUCAGGCACAAUACCUAUUAGCCUACAACAUCUAUUUAUACACACCCCCAAGGGCCUGCAGCAGUGAUUAACAUUGAGUUAUAAACAUCAGUUUGACUCAAAUAUAAUUAACAAGAGUUGGUCUAUCUUGUGCCAGCCACCGCGGUUAUACAAGAAACUCAAGUUGACAUCUUACGGCGUAAAGGGUGGCCUAAAGACAAUUAAACUAAUUAAGACUGAAAACCUAUUUAACUGUCAUACGCUCUUAUACAGCUAUAAACCCAAUAAAAAUCUUAAUUUAUUAAUCUUCUUGUCCCCACGACUACUAAAACACAAACUGGGAUUAGAUACCCCACUAUGUUUAGACAUAAAACUUGAAUAUUUACAAUAACUUUCGCCAGAGUACUACGAGCAAUAGCUUAAAACUCAAAGGACUUGGCGGUGUCCCAAAUCCACUCAGAGGAGCUUGUUCUAUAAUCGAUAAUCCACGUUUUACCUCACCAUUCUUUGCCCUCAGCCUAUAUACCACCGUCACCAGCUUACCUUGUGAGAGAACACUAGUUAGCAAAAAUGAUCAUAUCAAAUACGACGGGUCAAGGUGUAGCAGAUAGAAGGGAUAGAAAUGGGCUACAUUUUCUUAAAAAGAAUAUCACGAAUAACAUAAUGAAAUUUAUGUUUAAAGGCGGAUUUGACAGUAAGAUUGAAUAAUCAUAUUAACCUUAAACUGGCCCUGGGACGCGCACACACCGCCCGUCAUCCUUAUCAAAACAUUAACUAACAUUAAAUAAAUAUAUUACUUCUUUACAGAUGAGGAAAGUCGUAACAUGGUAAGCGUACUGGAAAGUGCUCUUGGAUUAU
rnacentral:ncRNA from 1 species